CUAGUGAUUAGAGUUUGAUCAUGGCUCAGGAUGAACGCUGGCGGCGUGCUUAACACAUGCAAGUCGAACGAACCUUCGGGUUAGUGGCGGACGGGUGAGUAACGCGUGAGAAUCUGCCCUCAGGAGGGGGAUAACGGUUGGAAACGACCGCUAAUACCCCAUAUGCCUAUUGGUGAAAUGAAUUUCGCCUGAGGAUGAGCUCGCGUCUGAUUAGCUAGUUGGUGAGGUAAUGGCUCACCAAGGCUUCGAUCAGUAGCUGGUCUGAGAGGAUGAUCAGCCACACUGGGACUGAGACACGGCCCAGACUCCUACGGGAGGCAGCAGUGGGGAAUUUUCCGCAAUGGGCGAAAGCCUGACGGAGCAACGCCGCGUGAGGGAUGAAGGCCUCUGGGCUGUAAACCUCUUUUCUCAAGGAAGAAGAUAUGACGGUACUUGAGGAAUAAGCCACGGCUAAUUCCGUGCCAGCAGCCGCGGUAAUACGGGAGUGGCAAGCGUUAUCCGGAAUUAUUGGGCGUAAAGCGUCCGCAGGCGGCUUUUCAAGUCUGCUGUUAAAGCGUGGAGCUUAACUCCAUCAUGGCAGUGGAAACUGAAAGGCUUGAGUAUGGUAGGGGCAGAGGGAAUUCCCGGUGUAGCGGUGAAAUGCGUAGAUAUCGGGAAGAACACCAGUGGCGAAGGCGCUCUGCUGGGCCAUUACUGACGCUCAUGGACGAAAGCCAGGGGAGCGAAAGGGAUUAGAUACCCCUGUAGUCCUGGCCGUAAACGAUGAACACUAGGUGUCGGGGGAAUCGACCCCUUCGGUGUCGUAGCUAACGCGUUAAGUGUUCCGCCUGGGGAGUACGCACGCAAGUGUGAAACUCAAAGGAAUUGACGGGGGCCCGCACAAGCGGUGGAGUAUGUGGUUUAAUUCGAUGCAACGCGAAGAACCUUACCAGGGUUUGACAUCCUGCGAACCUCUUAGAAAUUUGAGGGUGCCUUCGGGAAUGCAGUGACAGGUGGUGCAUGGCUGUCGUCAGCUCGUGUCGUGAGAUGUUGGGUUAAGUCCCGCAACGAGCGCAACCCACGUUUUUAGUUGCCAGCAUUUAGUUGGGCACUCUAGAAAGACCGCCGGUGAUAAACCGGAGGAAGGUGUGGAUGACGUCAAGUCAUCAUGCCCCUUACACCCUGGGCUACACACGUACUACAAUGCUACGGACAAAGGGCAGCAAACUCGCGAGAGCUAGCAAAUCCCAUAAACCGUGGCUCAGUUCAGAUCGUAGGCUGCAACCCGCCUACGUGAAGUAGGAAUCGCUAGUAAUCGCAGGUCAGCAUACUGCGGUGAAUACGUUCCCAGGGCGCUUGUACACACCGCCCG
rnacentral:rRNA from 2 species